ensembl:lncRNA
AAACUGGAAACCGUGGACGGAGAUUCCUUCGAGGUACCAGAUGUAGUGACUUCCUGUGUGCCUGACUCGAAUCAGGAAGAAGAAGUAGUAGCAGACGAGGUAGCAGAAGCAGCUCAAGGAAAAAGAGAGAGGGUGACUGUCACCCUUAGCUCUUCUUUAACAGAACUCUAGACAGAUCUGUCUCAAUCGUCAUGUCGAUCUCUUUAGACAGUGAUCAAAACUGACCAAUAGAGUCAAGGUACAGCCAAAAAGGAACUCAGGAGAGGAGAAUCAAAUCAACUCACAACAAAUCAACUCUAGACAGAUCUCUACACAGAACUCUAGAACUAUCUCUUUGUGUCUCAUCAUUGUAGAUGGAUGUCAUAGUCAGUAGAAGACAGUGAUAAAAACUGACCUAUAGAGUCAAGGUGCAGCCAGAAGGAUGUCAGGAGAUCAGGGAGAAGGAGAGAGAGAGAGAGAGAGAGAGAGAGAGACAGACAGAGAGAGAGAGAGACAGACAGAGAGAGAGACAGACAGAGAGAGAGAGACAGAGAGAGACAGAGAGACACAGAGACACAGAGACACAGAGGCAGAGAAGGAGAGAACAGGAGAGGGUGAGAAGGAGAAGGAGAUGGAGAGAGAAGAAAGAGAGAGAGAGAGAGAGAGAGAGAGAGAGAGAGAGAGAGAGGGAGAGAGAGAGAACAGGAGAGGGUGAGAAAGAGGAGAAGGAGAUGGAGAGAGAAGAGAGAGAGACAUGGUGUCCCCAGAAAGUGAUCAGGGAGAGAGACGGGAAAGAAGAGGGAGAAAGAGAAGGUGUGAUGGGAAUAGCCCCCACCUCUUCAACAGAGUUGUAAUUUUCAACACCAAUUAGGGUCCCCUGGAGAACAUGGACCGAAACUAUGGUUCCUACAGAACUAUAGACAGAACUGUGUCCGGUCAUUUCUAUGUAAGCGAUAAACAACAAUGGUCUGUACAUUUCUAUGAAAAAUAUACCACGAUGCAGUGAAGCAGUAUAUUAUAUAUAUACUGUAGCAGUCAAACGUUUGGACACACCUACUCAUUCCAGGGUUUUUUAAAUAAAUGCUUCACAGAGUUUAGGUAACAGACACAUCUCAACAUCAACUGUUCUGAGGAGACUGUGUGAAUCAGGCCUUCAUGGUCGAUUUACUGCAAAGAAACCACUACUAAAGGACACCAAUAAUAAGAAGAGACUUGCUUGGGCCAAGAAACACGAUCAAUGAACAUUAGACCGGUGGAAAUAUGUCCUUUGGUCUGAUGAGUCUUUUUUGGUAACUACAUGAUUCCAUAUGUGUUAUUUCAUAGUUUUGAUGUCUUCACUAUUAUUCUACAAUGUUGAAAAUAGUAAAAUAUAUAUAUAUAUUAAAAACCUUGAAUGAGUAGGUGUGUCCAAACUUUUGACUGGUUCUGUGUAUAGUACCCUUUCAUUUGUGAUUGAGACAUUUUCUGUAGCUGGGUCUAUUACAGGUCUAUACAGGUGCAUACAGGUCUAUUACAGGUCUAUUACAGGUCUAUUACAGGUCUAUUACAGGUCUAUUACAGGUCUAUACAGGUGUAUACAGGUCUAUUACAGGUCUAUUACAGGUCUAUAGAGGUCUAUACAGGUCUAUAGAGGUCUAUACAGGUCUAUACAGGUCUAUAGAGGUCUAUACAGGUCUAUAGAGGUCUAUACAGGUCUAUAGAGGUCUAUACAGGUCUAUACAGGUCUAUACAGGUCUAUAGAGGUCUAUACAGGUCUAUACAGGUCUAUACAGGUCUAUACAGGUGUAUACAGGUCUAUAGAGGUCUAUACAGGUGUAUACAGGUCUAUAGAGGUCUAUACAGGUGUAUACAGGUCUAUACAGGUCUAUACAGGUGUAUACAGGUCUAUAGAGGUCUAUACAGGUGUAUACAGGUCUAUACAGGUCUAUACAGGUGUAUACAGGUCUAUACAGGUCUAUACAGGUGUAUACAGGUCUAUACAGGUCUAUACAGGUGUAUACAGGUCUAUAGAGGUCUAUACAGGUGUAUACAGGUCUAUACAGGUGUAUACAGGUGUAUACAGGUCUAUAGAGGUCUAUACAGGUGUAUACAGGUCUAUAGAGGUCUAUACAGGUGUAUACAGGUGUAUACAGGUCUAUACAGGUGUAUACAGGUCUAUAGAGGUCUAUACAGGUGUAUACAGGUGUAUACAUGAGAGCCCUUAUCAGGAAGCCCUGGGGAAACAGUUUCACUUUCAGAAUAACAACACGAGAAAGACUCAAUAUUCAGAUCAAACUAUUCUAUUUUUUUUGCAGCAACAGCAAAUAAUUUCGAUAUAAAAAAAAAAACGUAGAUACUAUUUGUUCAAACAAACAAAAAUGUUGUGUAGAUUUGAAUAGCACCUAUUUGAAAGAAAAAUGUUUGUAUAACUGUAAGGAAAACUAGAAUAAAUGAUGAUGUUGUGAAAUCUUCUUCCUUUUGUAGAUAAAACUAAAGUUUUAUUUUAGAUAGGUGUUGUUAUAAGGUUACUAGCUGUCAGAAAUUCAGAUAGAAUAUAGUUCAGAUUUGAUUAAAAUGAAGUUGUGUUGGAC